UACACUAUGGGGGCCGCCAUUUUAUCAGUUAACCUUAAAGUUUUGUUUACCUACGAGGUUACGACGUUGUUGAACCAGUUGUAAUUUGGAGUUAAAAUUAUUACUUAAUUUGUUUUACCGUUAGUGUACGUGUGAACGUGCUUGUUAGUGUUAAAGGACAUUAUUAUUGACAACAAACAUGUCUUGUACAGUUUCUCACUGUAAAAAUUGUCAACGAUUUCGUUCAGAAGGUGUAUCUUUUCAUCAGUUUCCGAAAGAUUGAAAACUUUUAAAAAAGUGGCUGAUUGUUGUGAAAAAAGAUGACAGCUUCAAACUGACUAAGUAUAAGCUGGUGUGCUCAGAUCAUUUCACAACAACUGAUUUCAUUGUUGUAAAUGAGAGAAAACGAUUGAAAUCGAACGCAAUUCCCAGGGUGAAUUUAGAUGAAAGUCUAGAAGCUUCUUCAACUUCAAUGAGUACUGUGAGUGCUACUUCAGCUGAUAUUUGAGAAGAGUCUCCAUCGAUUAUACCUCAAGGUGUAAAGAGGACAUUAAGUGCUGCGCAGAGAUACCAUGGAAAAAGCAGUAGCAGUACAAGUGGAAGUAAAAGCAAGAACUCAAAAAGUAGUUCUGACAGGAGGGAAUAAAUAAAAUAAGCUGGCGUUACAUAAAGAAACUACAUGAAUUACAAAAUGAUGAAUUCCUAAAUGUUGCAAACAAGUUGAAAAAGGCACAUUUGGAGUGAUGGAAACAUAAAUCGAAAUUCUAUUAUAGGUGAGUUUAGCAGCACAAACUCUUAGCAAGAGUUGCGGAUGCACUUGAAUUUUUAAAAGAUCUUGGUAUUAGUGACUUUCAAGGUUCUCAAACAACAAUAGAAUUCAUCAGAAGGAUAGAUUCUUUAUUUGAUAUUCUCAAUUCCCGAAGUGUACGUGCUAAGAAUUUUAAGGCACCUUUGAGAGAAAACAAUGAAGAAAUGUGGCGUCCAUUUCUCAUCGACACCAGUGAGUAUCUUCUGAAUUUGAAGGAUGUCACUGGCGGGCCUUUGUGGUGCACGCCCCGAAAAACGUCAAUUCUGGGCUUUGUUAUUUCCGCUACGUCGUUCAUGGGAAUUUUUGAUGAAUUUGUUAGUAGUAAGAGAUUGAAUGACUUGCUAACAUAAAUGUAGUCAAGAUCAUCUAGAAAUUUUCUUCUGCUCAGUGCGGUAAGCUUUUAAAAAAACAAUUGUAUUACUUUUUUAUGCACUGGAAUUACACAAAUCUGUAUUUAUUUUUCUGUUUUCAGAUCGAGAAAUGGGUGAAACAAUAACCCUACUCCUCUACGAUUUUGUAAAACUUAGAAGAUUGCUUCAAUUACAAACAUAACGAGGGAAGGAGGAAAUUGUAAAGUGCUUUGCACCACCUGUCUGCUCUCUGUUAGCAUUGGCCCAAAGCAAAAGAGCACAAAUGUUCAACAAUCAGUUGACGUGUUUGUCUUGAAAAAAUAUGAUCUCGAUAUUUUGACUGAAGCACUUGCAGAUCAUGACUAUGAACGUCUAAUUUUAUUGGGCUGAGUGAAGUGGCAGAAAACGUGGCAUAUAUUGGUAGCUAUGUUGUCAAAAUGCUGGUGAAGACGUUUAAGCGCGCAGACUGCAUUUCUUCUUGCAUUGAAACACGAGGAAGUGACUUACAGUUUUACAGAUUAUUGGACAAAAAAAACAUGGGUGGGCUUAUUAAACCUUUUGCUGGGGUUGUGAAGACUUGUUGUUACUGUUAAUACGAAAAAUUUUGCAACUCACCGAUAAACUUCCAAGCGAUGAACAAUUUUUUAAAACUUUCGGCAUGCCAGCCUUCUUUUUCCUAAUUUAGAAGACCCACGCACUCGAGACGGUGGCCAUCGAUGAAGGCCAUUUAUAUAUUCUUAUUAAACAAAUAAUUAAUGCCUACAUGCGAAUAAGAAUGUUUAAUUUGAGCAAACGACUUUCAUGUCUUGCUCAAGGCACUUCUGUUAGACAUGUGUACACAUAAUUAGUACUGUUUUCGCAUCAAUAAAUAUAUUGAAGUAUAAUUAUGUUUAUUUAUUCGUAUAAGGUGAAAU